AUUGAACGCUGGCGGCAUGCCUAACACAUGCAAGUCGAACGGAAACGAUGGGAGCUUGCUCCCAGGCGUCGAGUGGCGGACGGGUGAGUAAUACUUAGGAAUCUGCCCAGUAGUGGGGGACAACACGGGGAAACUCGUGCUAAUACCGCAUACGUCCUACGGGAGAAAGUGGGGGAUCUUCGGACCUCACGCUAUUGGAUGAGCCCAAGUCGGAUUAGCUUGUUGGUGGGGUAAAAGCCUACCAAGGCGACGAUCCGUAGCUGGUCUGAGAGGACGAUCAGCCACACUGGGACUGAGACACGGCCCAGACUCCUACGGGAGGCAGCAGUGGGGAAUAUUGGACAAUGGGGGCAACCCUGAUCCAGCAAUGCCGCGUGUGUGAAGAAGGCCUGCGGGUUGUAAAGCACUUUCAGUAGGGAAGAAAAGCUCAGGGUUAAUACCCCUGAGUCUUGACGUAACCUACAGAAGAAGCACCGGCUAACUCCGUG
rnacentral:rRNA from 1 species